CUGCGCGGGGCCCAACCGUGGGCAGUUGGUCAGGCCGCCGGGUCUUACCAGUCGGCGCGAGUCUCCGAGGCCCUGCGUCGGACGCCCUACCCGUUCCCUCGGUCCUUGGGGCUUAGUCUGGUGGGACUCACCUGCCCGCGGCGCGGGGACUUUCGCGGGCCGGACGCGCGGUCCUCACAGCUCGCCGUGGAGAUGUGUUCGACGCCGGCGCUGCCGACGCCGGGGGCCUCGCUGGCCCUGCGGGUGUCCUUCGUGGACGUGAUUCCCGAGGUGAUCCCCGUGCAGCUAUGGGGCCUGGUGGGCGAACGGCGGGACGAGUACGUGCGGCUGAGCCAGGAGAUCCAGGAAGCAGCGGCCUCGCGCGGCCCGUGGGCGUUGGGCGGCGCCUCGGCCUCACCGGGCGAGCUGUGCCUGGUGCAGGUGGGGCUCCUGUGGCACCGCUGCCGCGUGGUCAGCCGCCAGGCGCAGGAGAGCCGCGUCUUCCUGCUGGACGAGGGCCGCACCAUCACGGUCGGCGCAGGCUCCCUGGCGCCCGGGCGCAGCGAGUUCUUCCACCUGCCCUCGGAGGUGCUGGGCUGCGUGCUGGCCGGCCUGGUGCCGGGGGGCGGCAGCGGCGCGGGCGGGGGCGAGCCGCAGCACUGGUCUUCCGGCGCCGUGGACUUCCUUAGCAACCUUCCCGGUAAGGAGGUGCACGGGCGGGUCCUGGAUGUGCUGCUCCUCCAUCGCCUGGUCCUUCUGGAGGUGCCAAGUCUGGUCCAGCAGAUGCAGGAGCUCGGCUUGGCUCGGCAGGUCCCCGACAGCCUCUUCCACUCGUUGCUCAAGCGUCACCUCAAAGUGGCCACUUCUGGCAUAGCCCCUGGCGUCCCUGUUCUCCCGAGAGUUCUGCCCAAGCAAGAGCAGCCUGGCCUGGAUUAUUUCUAUCCCCAGCUGCAGCUGGGUGUGACGGAGCCCGUAGUGGUAACCCAAGUGUGCCAUCCCCACCGUAUUCACUGCCAGCUCCGGAGCCUCUCGCAGGAGAUCCACCGCCUUUCGGAGAGCAUGGCGCAAGUAUACCGGGCUUCCACGGUGACAGGGGAUGGGAACUCCUCCAGUGCCACUUGGGAGGAGAGGGAGGAGAGCCCGGACAAGCCGGGCUCUCCAUGCGCGUCCUGUGGACUGGAUGGACACUGGUACCGAGCGCUCUUGCUUGAGACUUUUCGGCCCCAGCGCUGUGCCCAGGUGCUUCACGUAGACUAUGGAAGGAAGGAGUUGGUGAGUUGUAGUAGCCUUCGGUACUUGCUGCCUGAAUAUUUCCGAAUGCCCGUGGUGACCUACCCUUGUGCUUUGUAUGGACUCUGGGACGGUGGGAGAGGUUGGUCUCGGUCACAAGUUGGUGACCUGAAAGCUCUGAUACUGGGCCAGGCGGUGAAUGCAAAGAUUGAAUUUUAUUGCUCCUUUGAGCACGUGUAUUAUGUCACCUUGUAUGGAGAAGACGGGGUUGAUCUUAACUGUGUGUUUGGAGUACAGUCUUGUUGCUUGGCUGACCGAUUCCUUCAGAGCCAAGGAAUAGAGGAGGCGGAGGAGGAGGAAGAGCCAGCGACAGCUUCUCAGUCUCCCACUGAAGAAGUGGACGAAGAAGUGUCACUCCCAGCCUUGAGAUCUAUCCGGUUAAAGAUGAACGCCUUCUACGAUGCCCAGGUAGAGUUUAUUAAAAAUCCUUCUGAGUUUUGGAUUCGGUUGAGGAAACACAAUGGCACCUUCAGCAAGCUGAUGCGGAGGAUGUGCAGUUUCUAUUCCUCGGCCAGAAAGCUGGAUGGUGUGGUUUUGAAACCUGAACCUGAUGACCUUUGCUGCGUCAAAUGGAAAGAAAAUGGCUAUUUUCGAGCCAUUGUCACCAGAUUAGAUGACAAGAGUGUGGAUGUAUUCUUAGUUGACCGUGGGAAUUCAGAAAAUGUGGACUGGUAUGACGUAAGGAUGUUGCUUCCUCAGUUUAGGAGGCUACCAAUAUUGGCCCUGAGGUGCACCCUGGCAGAUAUCUGGCCUCUGGGAAAAACUUGGAGCCAGGAAGCAAUUUCCUUUUUUAAAAAGACUGUACUCCACAAAGAAUUAGUCAUCCAUGUUCUUGAUAAGCAGGAUCAUCAAUACAUCAUUGAGAUUCUGGAUGAAUCGAGAACAGGGGAAGAAAACAUUAGUAAGGUAAUUGCUCAAGCUGGAUAUGCCAAGUAUCAGGAAUUCGAAACAAAGGAAAAUAUCCCAGUCAAUGCCCACUCCCCAGGGCAUGGUUCAAACCACUUUCCUGCUGAGAAUAACAAAAUACCUUCUUCCAGGAAGGUGGAAGGAGAACAGAAAGCCAAGAAAGAUCAUAAAGCCACAUCUCUGUCAGAAACUUUGAGGGACACAAUUGUUACACAUGUUUCAAGUGAACUAGUUGUACAGAAUAAAGAGAAAAGAACAUCUGUUUAUUCUCCUCUUACUCAGAAUUUCCUGGACAUUAAGCCAGGCUCCUCUUGUAAGGGAGAGCUGAAAGUUGGAAGUACAGUAGAAGUUAAAGUGUCUUAUGUUAAAAACCCUGGCUAUUUCUGGUGCCAGCUGACCAGAAACAUGCAAGGAUUGAAAACUCUAAUGUGUAAUAUUCAGGACUACUGUAAAUCUACAGCUGCUCCUUAUGACGGAACCACACCUGCUUGUCUGGCAAAACGAACGGUAGAUGGAAAAUGGUCCAGAGCUCUGAUUAGUGGGACACAAUCUUCAGAGCAUGUCAAAGUAAUAUUUGUAGAUUAUGGAGACAAAGAAAUGGUAUCUGUGAAGAAUAUUUAUUCAAUUAAUGAAGAGUUUCUCAAGAUUAAGGCUCAGGCUUUUAGAUGUAGUCUUUAUAAUUUAAUUCAACCAACCGGUCCAAAUCCCUUCAUUUGGGAUGAAAUGGCAAUACAAGCGUUUGCUGACUUUGUAAAUAACGCAUGGCAAAACAAUCUUGAGUUAAAAUGCACAAUAUUUGCUUUGGCCUCCAUACAUGAUGAAGACCUGUUUAAUGUUGUGGAUUUGCUAACACCUUUUCAGAGUGCAUGCCAUUUUUUGGUAGAAAAAAGACUUGCGAGACCAGUAAAACUUCAGAAGCCUCUGGAGUCUUCUGUUCAGCUACAUUCCUUCUACUAUUCUAUACAUGACAUGAAAAUUGGAAGUGAAGAAUCAGUGUACAUAACACAUGUUGAUGACCCGUGGACAUUUUAUUGCCAGCUGGCAAGAAAUGCAGAUAUUUUGGAACAGUUGUCAUGUAGUAUUACACAAUUAAGUAAAGUUGUGAUGAAUUUAAAAACAGCUCCCUUAAUCCCUGGAAACUUGUGCCUUGCCAGGUAUACUGAUGGAAACUGGUAUAGGGGGAUAGUAAUAGAGAAAGAACCAAACAAAGUCUUUUUUGUUGAUUUUGGGAAUGUUUAUGUAGUAACUGGUGAUGAUGUACUUCCGAUACCUAGUGAUGCAUACAGUGUUUUACUUUUGCCCAUGCAAGCUGUUAAAUGCUCAUUAUCCGAUAUUCCUGAUCACAUACCAGAAGAAGUUACAGCAUGGUUUCAGGAAACUAUUUUAGAUAAGUCAUUGAAGGCCUUAGUUGUAGCAAAAGAUCCAGAUGGAAGACUGAUUAUAGAACUAUACAGUGACAAUAUUCAAAUUAAUGCUAGUAUUAAUGAGAAGUUAGGGUUACUUGGUUACAAGGGUAGAAUAAGAAAAAAAGAAAAUAAAGCACUCCUCUCUACAACAGAAACUCUUGAAGAAAAAAAUGAGAAUAUGAAAUUGUCAUCUACAGAGUAUUUAUGUAAAUCAUUUGAGAGCAAGUUAGGCAAUGUGCAGAUUUUGGGAGAAACCUACAAACCUAAGAUCAACUCCGCUUUUAAGGAGCUUAAACGUUUACAAAAUUCAACAAAGACUAACUCGGUCACUCAAUAUCAGGACUCCGUGGCAAAUAAAAACAGUCCACUGUUUUCAUUAGCAAUGGAAAAAAAAGAAAGUUUUGCUGAGCCACUUUUGAAAGCCACGAGAAUAGAAGCCCCUCCUUCAGAGAAAAAAAUAGGAGAUUCGGGUAACAAAGAUUUGCCUCUAAAAUUUUGUGAGUUCCCACAGAAGACUAUAAUGCCUGGCUUUAAAACAACAGUAUAUGUUUCUCAUAUAAAUGACCUUUCAGACUUUUAUGUUCAACUAACAGAGGAUGAAGCUGAGAUUAAUCUUCUUUCAGAGAGAUUAAAUGAUGUUAAAACAAGACCUGAAUUUCAUGCAGGUCCACCUUUGCAAAGAGGAGAUGUAAUAUGUGCCAUUUUCCCAGAAGACAAUUUAUGGUAUCGUGCUGUGGUCAGGGAACAACAGUCCAAAGACCUUCUUGCUGUACAGUUUAUAGAUUAUGGCAAUGUUUCUAUGGUUCAUACUAGCAAAACAGGUAGGCUUGACCUAAUUAAUGCAGUAAUACCAGCAUUGUGCAUUCCUUGUUCCUUAGCAGGACUUUGGGUUCCUGACACCAUACAUUGUAAGGAAAUGAUACAAUCCUUUUCCCAAAGGACUGACGAGGCUCAUGUAACAUGUGAAUUUGUUAAAUUUCAAGGCAAAUGGGAAGUUAUUCUUGCUGACAAACAUGGCAUCAUGGCGGAUGAUAUAAAUAGCAGAUAUGCUUUUAGUGAAAAAUCUAAAAUAGAACUUUCUACCCAAAUAAUUAAAAGUACCUGUUCAAGGUCUGCUAACAAAUUAGACAGUGACACGUCAAUGUUUCUUAACUGGUAUAAUCCAAAAAUAAAGAUGGUAAGAGCUUAUGCCACUGUAAUAGAUGGACCUGAGUAUUUUUGGUGUCAGUUUGCUGAUACUGAGAAACUUCAGCAUUUAGAAGUAGAAGUGCAAACUGCUGGAGAACAGGUAGCAAAUGAGAGAAAUUGUGACCCAUGUCCUCAUAUUGGAGAUCCGUGUAUAGUAAGAUAUAGAGAAGAUGGACAUUAUUAUAGGGCGCUUAUCACUAAUAUUUGUGAAGAUAAUCUUGUAUCUGUCAGGCUUGUGGACUUUGGAAACAUUGAAGACUGCGUAGAUCCCCAAACACUCUGGAACAUUCCUUCUGAACUUUUGUUGGUUCCCAUGCAAGCCUUUCCAUGUUGCCUGUUAGGAUUUAAUAUUUCAGAAGGUAUGUGCCCUCAAGAGGGAAAUGAUUAUUUUUAUGAAAUAGUAACAGAAGAUGUACUGGAAAUAACAAUAUUAGAAAUCAAAAGAGAUGUUUGUGAUAUCCCUUUAGCGAUUGUCGACUUGAAAUGCAAAGGUGAGAGUAUUAGUGAGAAAAUGAAGAAAUAUUCUAAGAUUGAUAUUACUGAGAACGAUCUGCCCAAUGAAACAAGUGGCUCAGAAAAAAAAGAAGUUUGUGGGUCCCCCAGUCCUGAUGUUGGACUUAAGAAACCGAGUAAUAAAGCUGUUCAAGAUGAAACCUUAUUUGUGGAACCACAAAUAGAUGAGCUCUCUGAAAGAAUUGAAAAAGAGUUAAACGUGAUUGAAACCAAACCAAGUAAAUUCUGUGACCUCAAGACUGAUAACAUUUUCGAAGCUUUUGAACACCCAUGCAAAAAUAAAAUCAUUACUGAGGUACUAGAUGGUAAAGUAGAGUGCCAUUUGGUUGACAAAGCGAAGUUUGAAGGUAAAUACCAAAUUACAGGAUUUGAGACGUUAUUACCACGUGCUAAUGAAACAAAGGAAAUACUAGAACGGAAUUCACUUGAGGGGCCACUUUCUCCUGAUGAUGAAUCAAAAGAAUUCUUAGAACUGGAAUCCAUUGAGUUACAACAUUCUCUGGUUGGGGAUGAAGAGAAAGAAGAGUUGGGCCUGGAGCCACCAAGUGUGCUGCUGUCCCAAGGCCAUAACACAAAAGCAACCCUGGAACCAUUCGCAGUGACGCUUUCCCUCAGCUAUGAAACUGAGAAACAGCCAGAAUUAGAACUACCUACAGCCCAGGUAUCUCUAGAUGACAAAUUGAUUCCUUUGUCUUUGAGAGUUAGUCAGAAAAUCCAAGAAUCACUGUGUACUGAGGACAUGACAAAGUCAAGUUGUGGGGAACAUUUCGAUGACCAGCACAGGGUGCCAUUACAUCUACAUGGGAAGAAUUGUGAUUCGAAAAUGCAGAUUGAGAUGAACAUGUAUGAAGAAGCGUUUAUAGAGUAUAAAAGCAGAGAUACCCUUUCAUCACUGAUGCCUUUAUUGUCUGAAGAAGAAUCCAGAGAUGGAAGAAAGCGCAGUAAUGCUUUACCAGAUCAUGUCUCAGCUCAGCCACAGAACACUUACACUCUGAAAGGCUUUACUGUUGGAUCAAAAUGUGUUGUGUGGUCAAGUCUAAGAAACACGUGGUCUAAAUGUAAGAUCUUGGAAAUAGCUGAAGAAGGCACGAGGGUUUUGAACCUUUCAAAUGGUAUGGAGGAAAUAGUGAACCCUGAGAAUGUCUGGAAUGGCAUCCCCAAAUUGGAUAAGAGUCCAUCUGAGAAUGAAAGUUGACUGGUGUUCAUGACUCUUAUAAAAUGUUUGAGGCAGAAAAUCUGAAAAAUACAGCAAAAUUAAAAAUGAGAGUAAUAAUAACUUGUAAUAUGCCCAUUUAAAGAUAAACAGGUUGAUCCAUUUGGCAUUAUUCAUAAUUUUUCUGUUUAAGUGGAAUGUAAGUAUUUUAUCUACAUAUUUUGGACACGAUUGACUUCAUUCUCUCUAUAGUUUAAUAUUCUUCAUUUAAGACUAUAUGCUGGGCAGUUUCCCAAGCUGCUGUGAUAUGUCUAGGCAUUUCAGGGGCGGUUUGUUCAACUUCCUCAACUUUUACUUUAUGGUGUUUGUCUGAUAUUUCCAACAUUUGGUCAUCUCAGGGUUUAUACCUCACAGCUGUAUUUUCCUUAGAGAAAUGGUCAGCUUUUCCUGAUUCUUCUAUGUUGAGUAAUUUUGGAUUCUAUCCUGAGAAUUUAAAAUAUUACAUUGUAAUAUUGAGGUUCUCAUUAAAAUCUGGAGGAUGCUGAAGUCUUGGUUGUAGCCAAUUAUCAUCCUAUGUAGGGUUGUGCCACAGGCUCUGUCUCUCCUGAAGCUAGCUCGUCAGAUCCACCCAGCACAUAAGCCAGUAGGGGGCAUCUGGGCUUGGUCACUGGUUUACAUGGUAGUCAGACGUCAAAGGCUUUGCUGUGCUUGUUAGGCUCUGUUCUGCAUAGCUCAGGGGGAUCAUAUUGGGGGUCAAAAAGUUCCAGCUUCUUUGCUCUUUGACGUUUCCUCCAUGCUUUCUGGCUCCCUGGAUCCCCCUUUUAUUCAGCCCCCCAUAGGCCCUUUUUCUGUUCUCUGGCUAGAAAGCAGGCUUUCCUCAAGGCUUUGUCAUGCAGUUCUGUUUGACUGAGCCUGCCUUUGGAGGGAAGCAGAUCGAGAGAAGAGCAAAAACAAUCUCUUCCCUCUACUCUACAGAUAACCAAAGGACCUUUUCCUGGUUUUACUGGCUGGGGACACAACUCACCUCUCACAUGUUUAGGUACUGGAUUGCCAUUGCUGUCGCCAGGCAGUAACUGGAGCUACCCUCAGGGCAAGGCCAGAAGAAAAAUGAGAAAAGAACAACACACUACAUAGGUCAGUACAGAAGUUUUGAGAUACACAAAAAUCAAGAAACGUAAAAUCCACACAGAUGGAAACAAAGUCUUCACAACAACACCCAUCAGCCAAGCAAGAUGAAACUUGCACAGGUAGAUCAGAAAGGACACAGUCAACUGUGUUUCUUGGAAAUGAAUUAAUGGACCAUGACGUAGUCUGUCUCAAAACUUUUGUAGUGACCCACAUACAGUGAAGGGAUUUCCUACCCAUUCCUUACUCUGUAGCAUUCAAGGACCCUUUAUCCUAACCCACUUGCUGAAAAAUAGGAAAUUUCUCUCCGUUUAUGUUUUUACCCUGGCUGGGUAGUUUUGAUUUGGCCUACCCUCAGAUCAAAACCUGGAGACAAAGAAGUAAGGAAAGUACAGGGUGGCUCCUGUGGCUCAAGGGGGUAGGGCACUGGCCCCGUAUGCCAGAGGUGGUGGGUUCGAACCCAGCCCUGGCCAGAAACUGCAAAAAAAAAAAAAAAAAAAAAAGAAGGAAAGAGCAAAACAAGAAACUCUUGGUGUGAAGUCAUUAUUCAGGUUUUUACUUUAAUUUUUAAUCUUUCUGUACUUGCUUACUUUUGAGUAUCCUCAGAUAGUUGCCUUAUAUAUUCUGUCUAGAAGUCCUAGUUGUAAUUAAUUAGUGAAAGAGAGAGGUUAUAGUAAGCGUACUCCAUCUUGGCCACAGCCAGAAGACCAUAAACAAUUUGGUAGCUGUAUAAUAUUGCAUGACAUUAAUGAGCUAUAAUAUAUUAAACCAUUUCUUAUAGUGUUGGAUAUUUAGGUCACAUAAAAUUUUUACUAUUAAAAAUAUUGAACAUCUCUCUCUUCACCUUCUUGUGCUAGUUCUUUUUUUGUGUGCUUGUCAAAAAGAAAUAGCCUGGUAACACUUUUUUGCAUCAGUAUUUACCCAAAAUUUCUUUUACAUUCUUACUGUCUCUAUUAGUUUUGAAAAGUCUACAAAUAAAUACACAUACGAAUGGAAUGGAAUGGAAUUAUAUCCAAAAUAUAAUUACCCUAUUACCUGGUUAACUGGAAAAAGCUAUUUGGGACUAUUUAAAAUAUACAUAAAAUAAUAUAUGGUAGAACCUCCAUAGUUGACCACAUCCCUACAUUGACCACCUCACCUCCUUAAGUUGACCUAAUUUUCAUAGACUAGGCAUGCACCACGUGUACAAAUCAGUACAGUAGUCCUAGUUCCUCACAUUGAGCACCUCUGUACCUUGACAAGUUUGUUACAGUCCCUUGGGUGGUCAGCCUACAGAGGUUCUACUAUACUUAGGAGUAACUUUUUGAUUUGAUUAUAAUGGGAGUUAAAGAUUCCUCACAUUAAAGGAAGAUCUCGGAUAAGGAUGCCUGCCUACAAAUGAGCUAGUACUUUUAAAAAAGUGAAUAUCGUAAGUACUAUGCAUGACUAUUUUUUAUGAUUCAUCAAGUCACUAUGAUCUGGGACUAUUUCUAAUUACAGUUUCUUACUUUAUGUUUUUUAUGUGAGUUGUUUCAUUUUGCCAUAAGAAUAUGUCUCACUAAUUAGUUUUCUGUAUUACAUCAUGCAUGCACAUUGGAAAGAAUCUGGGGAAAAUAUAUCCCUUUUCUUUGUUUUCAAAGGAUCUGUGGCUCACCAUUGAUAAUGUGUUUGAACAGCAGCACCUUAAACAAAGCUAUCCCUCCGUCCUUCACCACAUACUAGAGUUGUUGGAGGGUUUGGAAGAUAACAAUUGAAAAAGCAUACUUUACUCUCAGUAUGGAAGGCUCCAGUGGAGAUAGUCUAGAUAAUGAGUACUUGAAUAAAGGAAAAUGUACUUGAGGUGAUUUUUCCCUAUAAAACCAGAUUGCCAUAAUUUGAAUAGGAAUACCUUUUAUUGUUGACUUUUUUCCUGGUUUAUCUGUGGUUCCAUUUAUGAUGUAAACUGUGUUUUGUACUUAUAAUAAAGAAUUGGUAGUAACCCAGAGGUUCCUUUUGUUAGGCUGUAUUGCAAACAGUGGGAAAAGAUCUUUACUUCACGUCUUUGGAUGAUACCACAAUUAAAGAAAAGGAGUCUGGAAGUGAUGUAGUCUUAACUGUGGAUCCAUAGAUGUGACUAAUCAGAAGCUGCUCUUAAACAAGUGACAUCUUACCCAGACCAAGGGAAUAUUUGAAAAAAUUGAAAAUAGUUGACUAUGUAGUGUAUUUGUAGUGGUACUGUUGUCUCCAAAGAUCUGGGGUAUUUCCUCUGCCUUUACUGUCUUGUAUUUCUAAUCAGUUGGGAGGAUUUAUUUCACUAAACAAUUUUCUAACUCAUUACUCGCAUUUCAAAAAAAACCCUAUUUUGACAUCUUUUGAAUAUAGUGUUUCAAUUAAAAAGAUACAGGCUCAUGACAAGUGCCUUGUAUGAUGCUUCUAGGAGGAUAGCUUUGUUAACAGUAAUGUCUUCGAAAUUUUUGUUUUCAUUUUGAAGCUUGGGCUGUCUAAUAAAACAUUCGACUAACAUUCUGUUUGAAUUUGGAAGUAUUCGAAUAUGAUAUGAGAUCUGA